UGCUUGUAGGGAAUUGGCUAUAGAACACGGCUUGCCUAGGCCAUGGGAACAUCUUAGAUAGCAAGGUUACAGUGCCCUUGUACUGUGUUAGCUGGUUGGUAAACAGGACAUUGUGAUUAGCAAAACAAAAGCAACUGAGAACCACCUGUGUCAACAAAGGAAGGGAGUAAGAGGUGAGAUCAACAUUUAAGCAGAGCCAAUAAUGAGCUUAGCUUUUGCAAUAUGUAUGAGCUAAUUAUAAAGCAUAUAUUAAGCUGUUAGCAAUGAUCAAUAAACGAAGCUUGCUGAUUCUCAUAUUGAGGGUCUCUUUCUUCCCUCGUCACGACAAAUGGCGCCGAGCAAGGGACAAUAAACGAGGAUCCUGCUGAGUUUUGCACGGAACCCGUGGUCCCCGAAGCUUGAACAGGGGCUAAGUUAAAUCUGCAGCCCCAGGGGCUAAGUUAAAUCUGCGGCCCCAAGGGUUAAGUUGAAUCUGCGGCCCAAGGGACUAAGUUGAAUCUGCGGUCCCCGAAACCUGAACAGGGAGUAAGUUAAAUCUGCACUCCCCGAAGCCACGGUCUGACGCAGUAGCCGGUCGGUCUUGAAGCAGCACAAGAGGCGAAAGAGCUGGACUCCGCGCCCCGGGUGACCUUACAGGAUGGCCCGGCCGACAACACCGCCGACGUCUUGUAAAAGGCUGCAACAGCGCGCUGAAGAUUUAUAGUUUUUGAUGAAAGAGAAUGGAGACGUUAUGAGGUUAAGUUGUGGGAGGUUGCCGCGGAGACGGAGCUCAGUGUAACAUGAGAGAAGUGGAGAAGCUGCCAGGCCAGCCAGACAAGACGCCUAGACAGGUGAGCCACCGUGAACAAGAGGGAUCUAAUGUUGCAUCUAUAUGGAAGUCUAUCCUGCUUAAAAAAGGGAGAGAAAUUAGAUGAACUGGCUUUGCGGCAGAUGCUGCUUUCAUGUAAGGGCCAGGGAUAUGAAGCGAACACUGUAACUGCCUUUACUAUCUCUACUUGGAAAGAACUUAGUGAUAAGCUCUUUACUGCUGCCUCUAAGGGAGAAAAAAAAGUUGCUGCUUCCCUCCUUACAACUUGGCAAUUGUUAUCUGGAACAGUAAAAGGCAUUAAAGCACAGUCUGAGGACAUUAGAAUGCUACUGGAUACCAUCAUACGGAGAAAUCGUGUAAAAAGGGAGUCGAGCGGAGUUGAAGGGAGCCGGAGUGGGACCAGAGAUCAUGGAACGGGGCUGGGGACAACCGAGGGGCCCCGCCAACGUGAACGCGGUGCUAGCAUCUCGGCAGUGCAUAUCCAGGACGAUCGGAGACGACAACUGCGGCAUGAAAGUACUGAUGAUGGACCGAGGACGAACUUUACGAACACUGUGACUGAGUUCCACCUUAAGACAUUUCCAGCUUUUCAUCUGAACUGUGCAGCGGGACUGCGCUGCGCAUUUGUGGCUGUGUUUACGGCGCUGUGUGCUUACGCCGCCGUGCCAGGUGCCUACGGGGCGGCGCCGGGCAGCGGGGCAGUGGCGGUUGUCACGGCGCCUGCGUGACCCCGGCUCAGAGUGCUCCCGGAUGACGCAGAGCCGGGGGCCGGUGAAAUCGCUUGGAGCGGUGCGCAGCCCCGGCUCGGAGCGGUGUGCCCGCGUGCGUGCACGCCGGCGGCCUCGGGCGCGGCGGGCGGCGGGGGGGCUCUGUUUCCCCUGCACUGCUGACAGCCAUGGUCCCGGGGGGUGUGCGUUCCCCUUCCCUUCUUUGCAACGAGUGUUUUUUCCCUGGUGCCGCUCCUCUUCCUAGAGUGGCGAGUUAAUGACGGUAGCAAAAGCUUUGGGGGGUGCAGCUGGGGGAGGAGGAAAGCUGUUUCUCUUUUUCCCCGUUACACCAAUCAUCCUCUCUCUGAAACGUGCCUGUUUGCAGCUGUUCUCUCCCUCUCCUAUGUUUUUGUCUUUUCUUAAGCAGACCCUGUGAUUAAGUUCCUUCUGCUGAUCUCUCUGGGUGAGCCCAGCCCCUCCUCCCCCUCCUUCGUCCUUCGGCAAUGAGGAGCGUGGGGGGAGGCAAAGACGGUAAAACACGGAAAAAAGGGAAAAGAGAAAAAACAACUUAAAAUUAACAAUAUCCCAACUUAUAAAUCAAAUAAGAUUGCAUUGUUUUUACAGCAAUAGGUGUUAAGCAUGCAGUGUGCUCGUGGCAUUCUCAAAUGUUUUCUCCAAAAACAGAAAGGGAGAUUGACAAAAAAUCCUUUGAAGUAAGAUUAGAAAUAACGCAACAUCCGUGCUUAGCUUUUUGCAUAUUGCAGAAGGUUGUUAAGAAUUUCCUAUAGUUUGCCAUUUUGCUUCUCUUACAUGAAAUUUGGCUGUUUCCCCCAGGGGCAGGGUGCAGGUAGAAGAUUUGGAGACGGAACGAUGAGACAGAAGGGGAUAUAGUCUUGCCCCCUGCAAAAGUAGUUUUAUUACCUUUAUGACAGAAUAUCAUUGCUCUAUGAGAAGAGUUGAAGAUUUCCAAGAUAAUAUUAUGUUCUUUCUUGCUGUAUUUGUCUUUUACAUAGAGAGUUAUGCAGGAUUUACAGAUUGCUGAUGGCAGCUAUGCCAUAAAUUUCCUUUGAAUCAUGAAACUGAUAAGAAGUGCACAGCCAAUGACUACUUGCAAAUGUGUGUGUGAGUGAAGAGUGACUGUGGUGGCCACCAAGGAAUGACUGAAGAGAGGUUGUGUGAAAGAGAAAAGCUAUAUGAAUGUGUGACUGUGUAAACUUAAAAAUACUUUCUGCCGGUGUCAAGAUUUUAGAGAUGUGUAACAUGAUUCUGUUGAACCAUAGUGACUCCUUAUUCUGAAUGGUAUAUGAAUUCUUCAAAUUCCCACCAUGAGUGAUGAGGUUUUAGUUAUUUCUAGACUAGCCCUGUCCGGCUAGCUGUUUGAUCUGAACUGAGGUUAAAUAAGAGGUUCUUACAUAAAUUUGGUGUUCUAUUUCUGCCUUGUUUCAGAAAUUUAUGCAAGUUAAGUCUCAGGUGGAGUUUUUCCACUGCUGUUGUUCCUUAGCUGUGCAAACUGCGCAGGAGACCACUAGUUUUAAAGCGAGUAAAAACCAUAAGCCAGCAAACAUUGGUGCAGACUGCAAGGUUGGCAGAGCCCGA